CUUGGUCAUUUAGAGGAAGUAAAAGUCGUAACAAGGUCUCCGUAGGUGAACCUGCGGAGGGAUCAUUACAAGUGACCCCGGUCUAACCACCGGGAUGUUCAUAACCCUUUGUUGUCCGACUCUGUUGCCUCCGGGGCGACCCUGCCUUCGGGCGGGGGCUCCGGGUGGACACUUCAAACUCUUGCGUAACUUUGCAGUCUGAGUAAACUUAAUUAGUAAAUUAAAACUUUUAACAACGGAUCUCUUGGUUCUGGCAUCGAUGAAGAACGCAGCAAAAUGCGAUAAGUAAUGUGAAUUGCAGAAUUCAGUGAAUCAUCGAAUCUUUGAACGCACAUUGCGCCCGCCAGUAUUCUGGCGGGCAUGCCUGUUCGAGCGUCAUUUCAACCCUCAAGCCCCCGGGUUUGGUGUUGGGGAUCGGGCUGCGGUUCCACCGCGUCCCGGCCCCGAAAUCUAGUGGCGGUCUCGCUGCAGCCUCCAUUGCGUAGUAGCUAACACCUCGCAACUGGAACGCGGCGCGGCCAAGCCGUUAAACCCCCAACUUCUGAAUGUUGACCUCGGAUCAGGUAGGAAUACCCGCUGAACUUAAGCAUAUCAAUAAGCGGAGGA
rnacentral:rRNA from 1 species